rnacentral:tRNA from 1 species
GGUUUCGUAGUGUAACGGUAGCACACUCGACGCGUAUUCGAGAGGUCCAGGUUCGAGUCCCGGCGAGGGCA